CCCUGUCUCCACUCCCCUUCGCGGCUGCUGCGUGUGCACAACAAUGUCAAGCGAGUACUACCGCUACUACUACUACUACUACUACCUACAAGGAUCAAGCGAGCGUUCGUCUGCGUCGUGUGCCGCGUACACGCACAACACCACCCUGGGUUAGCCAAAAGCCAAAAAAAACAGAGAGACCGGGCAAGAGCAUCCAAGAGAAUUUUUGGGCGGGUAGAAACAAAAAUCAAACCCAGUUGCGCGCAAAAAAACAAAGACAAGCAGAAGAGAGAGAGAGAGAGAGAGAAUUUGGGAGAUGUGGGAUGGAAGCAACAAGCACAUGAGCAGGUUGUGAUAAGCGUAUUAGGAACGGACAAAACAAGGUCAUAGCGCGGCCUAAUCAAGAUUGAGGAGGGGUCCCGUCUCGUUGGGGUUGCUAGUUUUACCUACAUGACCAGCGUUGCCAGCAGGAUUGCCACGCUCGCGCGUGGGCCUCCCACGGCCACCGCCGCCGCCGCACCGGCGAGG
rnacentral:lncRNA from 1 species